UACAGAGGUCCCAAGCGUUGUUCGGAUUCACUGGGCGUAAAGGGUGCGUAGGUGGCCAGGUAAGUUUGGUGUGAAAGCUCGGAGCUUAACUCCGAAAAGUCAUUGAAUACUAUCUGGCUGGAGGGUCGGAGGGGGAGACUGGAAUUCUCGGUGUGAGCAGUGAAAUGCGUAGAUAUCGAGAGGAACACCAGUGGCGAAGGCGAGUCUCUGGAGCGACUCCUGACACUGAGGCACGAAAGCUAGGGGAGCAAACAGG
rnacentral:rRNA from 1 species